CUCAUUUGGAAUCUUUACGUUCCUUUUUCCUCUCUUUACCACCUUUCCCCAGCCUUUGUUCCUCCAAGUUUGGAUAUUGAUGGUGAUGGAUGUAACGGAGGUGGUUACGAUGGUGGUGGUAGUGGUGGCGGCAGUGGUGGUGGUCCCACUGAUGUAAUGGUACACCCCUUUGUGUGGAAUGUUUACUACAUCACCUGGAACCUCAGUCAGAACUCUCUCUAGGAUUCUGAAGGACUAUGAAGCAGUAAGGGCACAAACUGUGGUAACAAAUUGUGCUUGAAAUUUCUGAAAGAAGAAUCAUUCGUUAAAUAUACUGUCUUGUGCCUGCAUAAUAGGAUUACAAAAUAAGAGGAGUGACUAUCAAGAGAGACUCCCCGGACAACAGGAAUCCUUCCAACACAGGGUGGACUGAAAUGAGUUUGCUUUCUUCUGCUUCAAAACAUCCUGGAAAUAGCCUGCCUCCUGAAUUCUGAGGCUGACUGUGGAGGGUGAAGGUGAUGGCAUGAGCACCAUUAACUGGAGUUUAAUAUUUAUGACUUAAAAAAAAUACUUGACGGAAAUUUAUAACCAGUGCACAAAUCUCAAGUGGACCAUCUCAUCAAUCUGACAAGCACCUACACGUGGAACCCAAGCCCCUAUCAAUAUCUGUUAGACUGAUCAGUGGAUCACAGCCUUUAAGAUUCCCAUUUGGUGUGGUGAGAAUGGCAAAGAGUCUGCAAAACCUCAGCAGAAGUAGGAGAGAGGAAUAAUGGGAAAGAGAAGCCACACGAGUGACUGUCCUGAUGGAACCUGACCAGAGUCUGCCAUUUCCCCUCAUCAGGCUGGACUCAAGUUGGGAGAUGCCGUUUCCCUUUGUGCUAUCUCACAUCAUUGUUUAAAUAUACAAACUUUUAUUUUUUUUCACUUUAUUACUCUGCAUUAAAAGUC